CAUUUUUAAAAAGAAAUAAAUUAUCAUUCAUGAUCAACUUUCUUUAAUUUCAUGCUAUACCAAAUUAUCUUUACUUUGGUUUUCUAAAUAUUUCUGUCACUAAAAUAUGAAAAGUAAUUAAGCUGAUAAGAAAGAUACUACAAUUGAUCUUAGCCAAAAGGCUGAGAAGGAAU
rnacentral:snRNA from 1 species